CUCAAACAACACAAACAAAGCUCCUUCAUAUACACUCCCCAUCGGCAAUAAACGUCUCUCUCCCAUUUCCACCGAAUCACCACCACCGUUAUCACUCGCCAUAGUCUGAGCAGGUACAUAACAGACAUCCGUUGCAUGUUUCACACAAGAACCUAUCGCUGGCUCUGCAGUAAUAAGUAUAACCUUAGCACCGUUCGAUUUAGCUACAGAGCAAAGCGCAUCGACGGUUGAGAAUCCUCCAGGACCAGCUGAAGCGAUUAAGAGAUCAGAAGAUGAGAUUGGAGGUGUUGUCAUGUCGAAGACUAAGUGAGUGGGGAGACCAAAGUGGAAGAGACGCAUCGCGAAGGCUUUUAGCAUUAGACCUUCGCGUCCAACACCGUAGAGGA
rnacentral:lncRNA from 1 species